ACGUUGCCUCGGCGGAUCAGCCCGCGCCCCGUAAAAAGGGACGGCCCGCCCGAGGACCCCUAAACUCUGUUUUUAGUGGAACUUCUGAGUAAAACAAACAAAUAAAUCAAAACUUUCAACAACGGAUCUCUUGGUUCUGGCAUCGAUGAAGAACGCAGCAAAAUGCGAUAAGUAAUGUGAAUUGCAGAAUUCAGUGAAUCAUCGAAUCUUUGAACGCACAUUGCGCCCGCCAGUAUUCUGGCGGGCAUGCCUGUUCGAGCGUCAUUUCAACCCUCAAGCUCAGCUUGGUGUUGGGACUCGCGGUAACCCGCGUUCCCCAAAUCGAUUGGCGGUCACGUCGAGCUUCCAUAGCGUAGUAAUCAUACACCUCGUUACUGGUAAUCGUCGCGGCCACGCCGUAAAACCCCAACUUCUGAAUGUUGACCUCGGAUCAGGUAGGAAUACCCGCUGAACUUAAGCAUAUC
rnacentral:rRNA from 1 species